AUUGAACGCUGGCGGCAUGCCUUACACAUGCAAGUCGAACGGUAACGCGGGGCAACCUGGCGACGAGUGGCGAACGGGUGAGUAAUGUAUCGGAACGUGCCCAGUUGUGGGGGAUAACUGCUCGAAAGAGCAGCUAAUACCGCAUACGACCUGAGGGUGAAAGCGGGGGAUCGCAAGACCUCGCGCAAUUGGAGCGGCCGAUAUCAGAUUAGGUAGUUGGUGGGGUAAAGGCUCACCAAGUCGACGAUCUGUAGCUGGUCUGAGAGGACGACCGGCCACACUGGGACUGAGACACGGCCCAGACUCCUACGGGAGGCAGCAGUGGGGAAUUUUGGACAAUGGACGCAAGUCUGAUCCAGCCAUGCCGCGUGCGGGAAGAAGGCCUUCGGGUUGUAAACCGCUUUUGUCAGGGAAGAAAAGGCUCCUUCUAAUAUAGGGGGCUCAUGACGGUACCGUAAGAAUAAGCACCGGCUAACUACGUGCCAGCAGCCGCCGUAA
rnacentral:rRNA from 1 species